UACGUAGGUGGCAAGCGUUGUCCGGAUUUACUGGGCGUAAAGAGCGCGCAGGCGGUCGUUUAAGUCGAAUGUGAAAGCCCCCGGCUCAACUGGGGAGGGUCAUUCGAUACUGAUCGACUUGAAGGCAGGAGAGAGAAGUGGAAUUCCCGGUGUAGUGGUGAAAUGCGUAGAUAUCGGGAGGAACACCAGUGGCGAAGGCGGCUACCUGGACCAGCACUGACACUGAAGCACGAAAGCGUGGGGAGCAAACAGG
rnacentral:rRNA from 1 species